UCUUCUAUCUAGCACAAAUUUUCAUUUACAGAUGCACACUUAACUGCGUAUAAUAACUUGUUAUCUCAAGCCGACUACAUCACUUCUGUUACAUGUGCAUUACUACUCAUUUAAGAA
rfam:Populus trichocarpa scaffold_11_contig_8, whole genome shotgun sequence.